GACAGGGAGAGGGAGAUGAGAUGAGAAGAGGAACAGUCAGAACCGACAGGGAGAGGGAGAUGAGAUGAGAAGAGGAACAGUCAGAACCGACAGGGAGAGGGAGAUGAGAUGAGAAGGGGAACAGUCAGAACCGACAGGGAGAGGGAGAUGAGAAGAGGAACAGUCAGAACCAACAGGGAGAGGGAGAUGAGAUGAGAAGAGGAACAGUCAGAACCAACAGGGAGAGGGAGAUGAGAUGAGAUGAGGAACAGUCAGAACCGACAGGGAGAGGGAGAUGAGAUGAGAAGAGGAACAGUCAGAACCAACAGGGAGAUGGAGAUGAGAAGAGAAGAGGAACAGUCAGAACCAACAGGGAGAGGGAGAUGAGAUGAGAAGAGGAACAGUCAGAACCAACAGGGAGAGGGAGAUGAGAAGGGGAACAGUAGGAGGUACGGGGGGAGAGAGGAUUGAAGGGAGGUUUAGGGGAUGUGAAAGGGAGG
rnacentral:lncRNA from 1 species